GGAAGUAAAAGUCGUAACAAGAUUUCCGUAGGUGAACCUGCGGAAGGAUCAUCACAGAGUUCAUGCCCUCACGGGUAGAUCUCCCACCCUUGAAUAUUUAUACCUUAGUUGCUUUGGCAGGCCGUGGAAACACCAUGGGCUCCGGCUUAUGCGUGCCUGCCAGAGGAAACAAACUCUGUUUUUAGUGAUGUCUGAGUACUAUAUAAUAGUUAAAACUUUCAACAACGGAUCUCUUGGUUCUG
rnacentral:misc_RNA from 1 species